rnacentral:rRNA from 1 species
UUGAUCUCAAAUCAGGUAGGACUACCCGCUGAACUUAAGCAUAUCAAUAAGCGGAGGAAAAGAAACUAACAAGGAUUCCCCUAGUAACUGCGAGUGAAGCGGGAAGAGCUCAAAUUUAAAAUCUGGCGUGCCUCUGGUCGU